rnacentral:rRNA from 1 species
AUGGCGACCCCACGAUCCCCGGGUCCUCGCGGCGACGAGCUCCUUGACUCAGCGCCGCUGCUCGGCGGCGGUGGGUGGCGUCGUGGCGCGCUGCGCCGGCCGUCGCUCCGUGGGACGGCGCGGCUGCUGCGGCAGGGCGGUCGGCGGGCGAUGCGGGAGCCGUCCCUGCUCGUGCGGGAGACUGCGGCGGAGCAGCUAGAGGAGCGCCAGGCCGACUGGGCGUACUCCCGCCCUGUCGUGGCACUCGACCUCCUCUGGAACCUCGCCUUCAUCCUCACCACCGCCGUCGUGCUCGUGCUCAGCGGCGACGAAAGCCCGUCUGUGCCGCUCCGUAUUUGGGUAGCCGGGUAUGCCGUUCAGUGCGUCCUGCACAUGGUUUGUGUUGCCAUGGAGUAUCGUGUGCGUCACGGCCAGCGUGGCGGGUCCUCUACGGCCGCCGACGAGGAGAGGGGGACUGAUGGAUCAUCCUCGUCCAUAGACGACGCCGGAGAGAGCGGUCCCCAUGGACGCACUGGCGACUUCGUCAGUGUAGCAAAACAUCUGGAAUCUGCUAAUACAAUGUUCUCCUUUAUAUGGUGGAUAAUUGGAUUUUACUGGGUAUCUGCUGGUGGACAAGUUCUUACCAAUGAUGCACCUCAGCUCUACUGGCUUUGCAUCGUCUUUCUGGCAUUUGAUGUUUUCUUUGUCGUCUUUUGUGUUGCCCUGGCUUGCAUCAUUGGUAUUGCUGUUUGUUGCUGCCUCCCUUGUAUCAUAGCAAUUUUAUAUGCAGUAUCAGAUCAGGAGGGAGCUUCUGAAGAUGACAUUCGCCAAAUUCCGAAAUACAAAUUUCGGAGGAUGGAGGAGCCUGAAAAGCAAUCUGUCACCACGACUGAAUCUUCUGGUGGAAUAAUGAUAGAGUGUGGUACUAACCAACCUAUUGAGAAAGUACUUGCAGCUGAAGAUGCAGAGUGUUGCAUCUGCCUUUCAGUGUAUGAUGAUGGCGCCGAGCUGCGUGAACUCCCUUGUGGCCACCAUUUCCACUGCGCUUGCAUUGACAAGUGGCUUCACAUCAAUGCAACUUGCCCUUUGUGUAAGUUGAAUGUGCGGAAAAACAGCAGCAGCAGUGGUAGUGAAGAAGUAUAA